UAGCGAAGGUCCCAGCAGAGGGUACGAACUCUGUAAACGAGGACUCUCUAACAUAAUACAAAGCCUUCGCAGACUAAUUUGCCGAAUCGUAGGAUGCCCAUAACCUGUCAACUUUUGGGCAUCUUGAACCCUCGGCUAUAUCUUC